rnacentral:lncRNA from 1 species
GCGGACCCCCGUGCCUAGGCGCUCCUGUGCCUCCAGUGCGCGGAGCCGGCCUCGCUCGGGCGUGUUCCUGCGCCGACCGGACGGCCGGACUCCAGCACCUUGGCCCGGCCCGCGAACGCUGAGCACGCGCGGAAACCCUUUAAAGAUAGGAAGUGAAAUCAAAUGGAGGUUGGUGAGUACCCCACGGCAACCAUUGCUUCGUUUCAUGGUUCAGAGUGAACUCUAAUCUGGAAGCCUUCCUUAGGUCAUUCCUGCUUCUGGGAUCCAACUCUAUGUUGUGCUUAAGAAAUGUGUCACAUCAGACAGAGUGAAUCACAAGACAGAGAUAUUUACCUAUCACAUAAAUAUUUUAUUAGAUUUCAAGAAUGAAGAGGAACAGUUUAUCUGUUGAGAAUAAAAUUGUCCAGUUGUCAGGAGCAGCGAAACAGCCAAAAGUUGGGUUCUACUCUUCUCUCAACCAGACUCAUACACACACGGUUCUUCUAGACUGGGGGAGUUUGCCUCACCAUGUAGUAUUACAAAUUUUUCAGUAACUUCCUUUACUAGAUCGGGCCUGUGCAUCUUCUGUAUGUAGGAGGUGGAAUGAAGUUUUUCAUAUUUCUGACCUUUGG